rnacentral:lncRNA from 1 species
UAAUGCUUCAUAAAAGCCUUGACGAAACCAACACCACAAAUAGCACCAAGUGAUUGUGCAAUUAUGUAUGCAACAGCUCUUAUUAGUGACACUUUCCUUGCCAAGAACAACCCUAAUGUCACCGCUGGGUUAAUAUGACCACCUACAACAAAAAAGCAAAAACACAUUCAUUAGUUGUUUCUCUCUUCUCUUUACUAAAUGCAUAAGCCGAGCUAGGAUUUCAAUAUUAUGUGUUCUAAUUUUAGACAGCAAUUUUAAGAGCCAUUAACCGGAUUAUAAAUUUAACAGUUGUAUAUAUUUAAUGAAUUUUUUAACACAAAUAUAUAAUUUGUGCAAAAAUUACUGGAUUCGGUGCGUUUAAGCUUCAAGAUUUUUUUUAGCACUUAAUGCAUUUUUUUUAGAAUUAUCGUUAAUUUCGUGCCUAAAUACUGAAUUCAGAUGAAUCGUUAAGAUCAGGGGCGAAGCUGCAUGUCUUAAAGGGGGUCAAUUGACCAACCUUCGUCUAAAAAAUUAUACUAUGUAAAAAAAAAUUAAAUUUUAGAAAUAUAUAAUAUAUAUUGAAUACCCUUUAUUGGUAUAUUUUUUCAAGUUUGAACAUCCGGAAAUUAUUAGCCUUGUCACUGAUUAAGAUAUGUAACAUCUCCCUUUGAAUAGGAGGAUCUAGUCAUUUCUAGCACGUUCAAAGUUGGCCCGCACCAGAGGUAGAUGUAGAGCUGUAAUACCGGAUUCAAUUGAACUCUGUAUUUCCAAAUGUGAAACAUAAUUUUAUGUGUAAAAAUUUACUAAAAUUGUAAUAAAUAAUAGGUUUGAACCCAUAAUUUUAAAAAUAUAAUGGGUUCAUGACAAAAAUUCUUUAGGAAUCAACCGAUAGAGCUUAAAUCCUGCAUCCACCGCCCAUACCAUGUAUGCAUAUACAGUAAAAAUCUUUAACCAUUUAAAGUCCCUUCUGUUCACAAUAAGGGUCCAAUUUGCUUUUUUAUUUUGGUUCAAAAUAAGUGUCUAGUUAUGUAAUCAAGAAAGAAUUCAAUUUGUUUUUACAAAAUAUAACCUAUGUACAUAUCCCCUAAAAGCUUUUAUUACUCCUCACAUUAAAUGUUUAAUUAGGAGUAGUUUAGUCAUAGUAGGUAUUUUUGUAUUGAAUUUAGUAUUUUCUUAAUGGACGUGUUAAAAAUAAAUUGGACACUUAUUGUGAACCGAAUAUAAUACAUAAUAAAUCGCACCUGCUAAAUAUUAGUGACUCUGCAUUCGCCUCUAAACAACAAUUCAUAGGAAAAAGUUAGGUUAUUGUGCUUACCAGAAAUACCAGCAGUGCAGUAAACAAGAACGAAAAUCAUGCCACCAAAAGCCCAUGCAAUACCAAGAAUACCUACACCAUCACAAUGGUCUGCAGCGUUCAACUUCUUGUGGCCAAUGACAGUGGCAACAGUGACGUAAAGGAAGAGAAGAGUAGCAAUAAACUCAGCAAUAACAGCUCUAUAAAAGGACCAUUUGGU